rnacentral:rRNA from 1 species
AAAGCAGAGACAUGAUGGGGAGUUAAAGGAAACUUUGACGAACUCAUGGAUCCCACACUGCCAAGAAAAACUUCUAGCGAGACAAGAUCCGCCCGUACCGUAAACCGACACAGGUAGGCGGGGAGAGAAUCCUAAGGUGCGCGGGAAAACCCUCGUUAAGGAACUCGGCAAAUUGCAUCCGUAACCUAGGGAGAAGGAUGGCCCCCGGUCAGUGAAGAGCAGAAACGCUCAGAGCUAAAAGGGGCGGCAGAAAAGAGGCCCAAGCAACUGUUUACCAAAAACACAGGUGCCUGCGAAAGCGAAAGCUGAAGUAUAGGUGCUGACGCCUGCCCGGUGCCGGAAGGUUAAGGAGAGAAGUUAGCGAAAGCGAAGCAUCGAACUGAAGCCCCGGUGAACGGCGGCCGUAACUAUAACGGUCCUAAGGUAGCGAAAUUCCUUGUCGGGUAAGUUCCGACCCGCAUGAAAGGCGUAAUGAUUUGGGCACUGUCUCAACGAGGGGCCCGGUGAAAUUGAAAUACCUGUGAAGAUGCAGGUUACCCGCGACUGGACAGAAAGACCCCAUGGAGCUUCACUGCAGCUUGAGAUUGAAUCCCGGUGACAGAUGCACAGGAUAGGUGGGAGGCGCCGAAGCAUUGCCCUAGGGCGGUGCGGAGCCGAUGUUGGGAUACCACCCUUCUGUUGCUGAGAUUCUAACGCGAGGAGUAACGACCCUGCGGACCCUCUCAGGCAGGCGGUUUGACUGGGGCGGUCGCCUCCGAAAGAGUAACGGAGGCGCCCAAAGGUUCCCUCAGGCCGGACAGAAACCGGCCGAAGAGUGCAAAGGCAGAAGGGAGCUUGACUGCGAGACCAACAAGUCGAGCAGGGACGAAAGUCGGGCUUAGUGAUCCGGUGGUACUGGGUGGAAAGGCCAUCGCUCAACGGAUAAAAGCUACCCUGGGGAUAACAGGCUAAUCUCUCCCAAGAGUUCAUAUCGACGGGGAGGUUUGGCACCUCGAUGUCGGCUCAUCACAUCCUGGGGCUGGAGUAGGUCCCAAGGGUUGGGCUGUUCGCCCAUUAAAGUGGUACGCGAGCUGGGUUCAAAACGUCGUGAGACAGUUUGGUUCAUAUCCAUCGCGGGCGCAAGAAGUUUGAGAGGAGCUGCUCCUAGUACGAGAGGACCGGAGUGGACGGAUCAACGGUGUCCCAGUUGUCACGCCAGUGGCACGGCUGGAAAGCCGCAUCCGGGAAGGAUAAACGCUGAAAGCAUCUAAGCGUGAAGCCAACCUCAAGAUGAGACUUCUCAUCAGCAAUGAGUAAGACCCCUUACAGACGAUGAGGUAGAUAGGUUAUGAGUGGAAGAGCCGCAAGGCUUGGAGCGACAUAAAACUAAUAGGUCGAGGUCUUAACUUA